GCAAGUCGAACGAACAAACCGGAGCUUGCUCUGGUGCGUUAGUGGCAGACGGGUGAGUAACGCGUGGGCAAUCUACCUUUGAGUGGGGGAUACCUCUCCGAAAGGAGGGUUAAUACCGCAUAACAUCGAGAGGUCUCAGGACCAUUCGAUCAAAGCUGGGGAUCUUCGGACCUGGUGCUUAAAGAGGAGCUCGCGUCAGAUUAGCUAGUUGGUGGGGUAAUGGCCUACCAAGGCGACGAUCUGUAGCCGGCCUGAGAGGGUGAUCGGCCACACUGGAACUGAGACACGGUCCAGACUCCUACGGGAGGCAGCAGUGGGGAAUUUUGCGCAAUGGGGGAAACCCUGACGCAGCAAUGCCGCGUGGGUGAUGAAGCAUCUUGGUGUGUAAAGCCCUGUCAUCAGGAAAUAAGGUUGUGCCGUUAAUAGCGGUACGACUUGAAUGUACCUGAGGAGGAAGCCCCGGCUAACUCCGUGCCAGCAGCCGCGGUAAUACGGAGGGGGCAAGCGUUAUUCGGAAUUACUGGGCGUAAAGGGCGCGUAGGCGGUCUGAUCAGUGAGAAGUGAAAGCCCUCGGCUUAACCGGGGAACAGCUUCUCAUACUGUCAGACUUGAGGAUGGGAGAGGGAAGUGGAAUUUCGGGUGUAGCGGUGAAAUGCGUAGAUAUCCGAAGGAACAUCAGUGGCGAAGGCGACUUCCUGGACCAUUACUGACGCUGAGGCGCGAAAGCGUGGGGAGCAAACAGGAUUAGAUACCCUGGUAGUCCACGCCCUAAACGAUGAACACUUUGUGUCGCGGGUAUCGACCCCUGCGAUACAGGAGCUAACGCAUUAAGUGUUCCGCCUGGGGAGU
rnacentral:rRNA from 1 species